rnacentral:lncRNA from 1 species
CCGCGGUUCUGCACCAAAUGGAACAUCUGAUAAUUCAUCAGAUCGACACGUCCUUAUUUGGUGCACUCUUCCUCUGACGUGUACGGGGUAAAGUGUUGCUGCCAUAAUAAAAAUGAGGCGGUAUUAGGUGCUGCACACUCAAGCCGUCCACUCAGACUGCCGACUACCUGCCACAGUUUCCUCACAGUCAUGAAGAGCUUCAUCAUUCAAAGUCUGGCACUGAUCGGGGCCAUGGUUGUCAUUGUGGACGUGGCCUCCAUACCGCCACCGAAAACAAACGUGCUGCUCAAGUCAAUCUUUGCUGAUGCAAAUAAUAUGUUAAAUACGUUUUCACAAAAGAACCUGACUUCUAGGGUUAAGAGGCCAUGGAAGGGAGACGCAAGCAGAUGUUGGAUGUACUUCUUCUGCCUGGCUGAGAAGUCCCUGAAUUUGACCGAUUUCAACCAGUCCAAACUCACCAAACACCUGCAUCAGUACAACAAGGUAACCAGGGCAUAA